UCUGCUUUAAAUUGUUUUGUUCAUUUUAAUUGUCCCCAUUCAGGCUCAAACAGAUGGUUACCAGUCCACACAUUCCAUAAUUCCAGCUGUUAAAGGUAUUUCCACCUAAUGUCUACUGUUACAACCCUAUGGGUCGUGUGUUUGGGUUGGGUUGUGUGUUCCUUCUCCCUCUCAGGUAGUGGCCCUCCCCCCCUAUGCUUGGCUGCAUGAGUGAGUGGCAGCAGGUGUGCCUGAUCACCACUCAGUGCCUGGAGGAUAAGAAGGCUUGGUUUUUUCACAGCACUUGGUCUGUUUCCCUUUCUACCUGUUGUGACCACACUGCAGACCAACACCCGUGAGCAGACCACUGCAAGCUGACUGAGGCAGCCCAUUCAACCAGUGGGUUGAACACCAGCGUAGAGCUUCUAUUUACCAAGCAGAACAACAACUUCCAAUGCAGUGGACCUGUAAGUACUGAACAUUUUGUGCUAAAAAGGGAGGCUACUUACUUAAGCAUCAAUGCUUAAAACAUGGAUGACCCGCUCUGAUAUCACCACUCCCAUGCCUUCACAAGGAAUGCCUGUGAAUGUUUAAAUCUUUCAAUGCUCUCAAGGUACACCUAUCAACAUGGCACAUUCAAAAGAAUCUAGGCAAAGUUAGUGAAACUGCAUUCCACUGUCAGCUGUGCGACUUUGUGGAGCCUUGCUCUGAAGGUGACUUUUUCACCCAUUUGCGAAGACAUUUGAAACUGAUUCAAAACAUAGUCAAGAUGUUGAUGACUCUUUAGUGAGUGAGAUCGCUAGAGUAGUUACUGACAAUGUUUUCCUGAAAUACACUUCAACUUGGGGAUCAUUGUCAACUGCUUGCUAGCGAACAUCAUACAUUGCAAAAUAAUUCUGUGGUAAUGCCUAAUGAGUUUGUCCUUUAAAAAUGACAAGCAGACAGUUGUGUAUGUUCCCAUCCUAAAAAUGCUGCAGACAUUGCUAAGCAAUGGAGAUAUUUUGGAUAAGGCCAUGUCACCUGAGAAAUGUCACAGGGAUACAAAUCUUACAGGGAUGGUUCUCACUUUAAAGACAACUCUUGGUCUCUGAUUGUACAUGGAUGACUUUGAGGUGGCUAACCCCUUGGGAACCUCAAGAAAGAAACGCAAGCUAUGUGCCAUCUACUGGGUACUUGGCAAUCUGCAUCCUAAAUAUCGCUCCUCUUUUCGUUCCAUUCAGCUUACUCUGCUUUGCAAGGUCAACAGCAUCAAAGACCAUGGUUAUGGUGAAAUUCUUCACCCUCUUAUUCAGGACCUUGUUUCACUUGAGCAACAUGGUGUACAUGUUGAACAGUUAGGAGCGAGCAUAAAAGGCACUGUAUUUGUCGCAGCAGACAAUUUAGCUGCCCAUUCUUUGGGAGGGUUCGUUGAAAGCUUCAGUUACCAGAUGUGUAGAUUCUGUAUGGCCAAGGGGGGGAAAUACAACACAAGGAAGUGAGGACAGGCUCAUUCCAACCAAGAACAAAAGAAAAUCAUGACAGACAUGUGCAAGACAUAUUGCAGGAUUCUACCAUGGCUCAACAAUAUGGUGUAAAAGGAAGCUGCCCAUUCAGUAAAAACUGACAACAUUUUCAUGUUGUCAGCUGAACUGGCCUUGUGCUUGAAGGCACUGAUAUCAAAGGGAUACUUCUCACUUGAAACCCUGAACGAACAGAACGAACAAACCAAACCCCAGCUCAUCAGAAAGGACUUUCCCUCCAAGGGAUCGAUUGGAGGAAAUGCUCAUGAAAAUUAGACACUUCUGCCACUACUAAUUGGUCAUCAUAUUACUGAAGGGGAUGAAACUUGGGAGGUUUUAAUGAACUUAAAAGAUGUAGUGGAAUUGUCAGUGUCCGCAAGCUUUACAGAGGAGUCUAUGUACUUUCUUGAUUGCAAGAUCACAGAACAGAUUCAUUUCAGAAAGCUUUCCAGAAUGGAAAAACUACGGCCAAAGCACCACGUCAUUGAGCACUACCCUCAGUUAAUUCAAACUUUUGGUCCAUUAUCUGAUGUGUGGACAAUGCGUUUAGAAGGAAAACACAAGUUUUUCAAAAGUUGUGCGUCAUGCUCAGAAUUUCAAGAACAUACCUCUUACCGUAGCUCUCAGACACCAGAAAAUGAUAGCCUUCCAUUUAGCUACUACCUCCUUUUUCAAGCCUGUUGAAAUUAAUAAAUUAAAGUCUGUGAUGGUUGCUUCAUUUCCUGAAAAUGUGCAGAACUGUCUGUAUCACAGGAAUGCCCAGCAGAACACAGUCCUUGUAGCAUCUUCCAUCUGCAUAGAUGGCAUUAAGUACAGUGCUGAUAUGGUCAUUUCACUUGGAUCUUGCUCUGGGCUCCCAGAUUUCAGACAAAUAGCAAAGAUUGUGGUGAUCAAUACCGACAUACUAUUUGUCUGCAGACUUAUGACCUCAUGGUAUGAUGAGCAUCUUAGAGCAUAUGAGCUCAGUAGCAGCCACUUGUCCACCUUUACGUCACCCAGUUGGCUGAAGUGAAUGAUGUUUUCCCCCCUGUCACUUUACAGAGUUAGAGGCAAACAGCAGCUUGUUACACUUAAACAGUAUAUAUUAUGCUGAGUGAUGUGAACACUGAUGUUGUAAUCUUACACGGCUAGCUCCCUUUUCUCAGAAUGAGUCAUAAAAAUGGACCAAAGGAUAUUGCUGAGAGUUGUCAUCGAUGAAGAUGAUAUAAGAAAGUUCACUUUAAAUGAGAGACCAGAUUCCAUUGAAGAUUUUAAAAAGUCAACUGAAGGAGAAACUGUUGCUGCAGUAUGACUUGAUAUGAUGCAAUAUGAAGAUCAAGACUUCAAUAAUGCCCUCUGCAAUUUAACUGAAAUAACAGACUUACCUGAAAGAGAGACCCUGAAAAUCAUCCCUGUUACUCUCGAAUUAACAGCCCUGUCAUCACCCACCACAACAUCAGACACUGAGUGCAGCAUAGCAGACACUGAGGUACAGUCAACUGCUGGAACCUCACCAAUGCGAAGACAACAAUGGCCAGAGUUCUUUGACAUACCCAGUUUCGCAGUUGAUGUUCAGUACAGACUCAGACAGGGAGAUCUUGCGUUUUUGAAAGAUGGAACAUGUAUGACUCCAACGCGAGAUAUGACAAUGUACAGUUUCAAGGCUUAUCCUGAAGAUGUAUGGCUGGAAAAACAGCCUUAAAUUUAAGAUGGCCAACUAUUGUACAAAGUUUCGGAAAGCUGGAUGUGAGGAUGUAGCAAUCAAUGGGGGUAAAAGAAGUAAAGUCAACCCAGGGGGAGAAUCAUGAGCGGGAACAUCAAACGGCCAAAAAGAGGUGAAGCAAAUUAUCUGCCUAAUUUACCUGACGGACAUGAUGAAGCAAGCCUCAAAAAUGGCAGAAAGAUCGUCAAAAAGGAGCCUGCUGUACAGAACGAUGGCCAGCACUUUUCAUGGAGAGACAGGUAAGCUUCUAUUUAUGUCCUAAUUAGUGCCUGAAAGGUUUACCAUGUCUGAUUUGUUUGAAAAUAGUAUUAUAUUUUAGCGUGCUCGGAGUGUUCCUUGUCUUUCUAUCCUGUUAGCUAUAAUGGUUGCUUGUUUGCACAACAGUUAUGAAUCGAAUCAUAGUCUACUUAAUGUGCUGUUCUCCAUUUCUCCUCCCACAACUGUACUAUUUCAGGUAUUUGCUGAGUUUAAUAGAAUUGCCUGUAAGGAUCUUGAGAGAGACUUCUUUGAAGCUCUUGACCAGCACACCCCACGUUUCAUUGAACUCUUCAAGUCAAAAAAAGAGCUGUUGGACAGAAACUGACAGAGCUAAUGCAGCACAUCAACUUGGU